AACAUGGCCACACACUGGAACAACUCGACCCAAAGACCAGCUGUACCCACUAAAUCAGCGUGCCUGUUUUGUCUGGAGUGGGGGAGCGGAACGGGAAUCACAAAGAAUGGAGCGAAAUAAAAGAGCGAGCCAAGCGGAGCAAAAAAGAACGGAGGAUAUUAUGAGCGGAGCUUAUCGGUGGGACAAUCUUUUAGAAAGAGACAAACUGGAGAAGUAUCCCUGGAAUGAAGACGAUUAAAGCAGCGUGGAGGUGUGUUGUUUUGGAGACCUGGAUAAUUGUGGCAGCAGGAACAGGCAUGGCGAGAUCAGUGAAGGUUGAAGCAGGGGGGUUCAACAGAGGCCGAGGUGAAUGGGUCAGUGAUGCUGUCGGGUAAAGGUGGAGCAGUAGGAUGGUUGGAUUUCUUUAGGCAUUUUCUCAUUGUAUUAAUGGUGGGAGGAAGCUAAGUAUUGCUGACGAUCCUAAAAUUCUGUUUCCGAUGGGGAAGAUAGAUGCUGCUGAUGCAGUAAUAAAAAGGUUUGCAAUAAUCAUCCCAACAAUGACCAGGGCAGCAAUCCAUGAAAAACUUAACAAUGAAGACAAAUUAAGGAAACGAAAGCUGAGAAAUCCAAUCACAGCAAGAAUAAGAAAAAUUCGCAGCUACUCAGGUUGAAGCGUCAAACACUCCAGUCCAGCUACAAAUCCAACUGGAACCAUCGUCAGGGGCAAAAGCUAAAAAAAGUAAUACAAGAAGCUAUGCAUUGAAGAGGUGUCUUCUGAAUAUGCUGGGCAGGCUUGGAAAUGUUUCAGUUUCCUUCUUGAUAGAGCUUUUCAUGUUUUUGCUUCACAGUUAUCUUUAUUGCCAUCUUUUACUUUUCUUGUUUAUUUUUUUCCCGGUGUAGUUAACCAGUGCAUUAUAGUUAGACAUAAGUGGAAGCUAGCCUUUCAUGGUAGACAUUCUCCACACAUACACUGAUUCAGCCAAUAAUUCCAGAUCAGUAAUAUCAAGAAGCUUUAGUUGGUACAGCUUGACAACAAGGAAUCCAAGAUGUUCAUGAAGUUUAAAGAAAAACAUUUCUUUGUCAGGAAUUGUUGGGGGGCACAAUCCAAAAUUCGGCAGGACAGAGAACAGGACUUUUUUUUUUUUAUGAGGAUUACAUACAGAGAAAGUCAGAAAUCAUUUUGUUCAAUGUAACUUUUUUUUUCAUUGUAGUUAUACAAUUUGCAUCAUCUUUGACAUUAAUAGCAGUAACUUUAGUCUUUAGUGCAUUGUCAUUGUGCUGAAUUUUCAGCAGAAUACAUUUUAGUGCCAGCUUUUCAGUUUCUUUAUCCCUUUGAACAGGUCACUUAGAAAAAAUAUAUCACUAAUAUGCUGCAUUCAGAUUUCACACUUACGUGUUUAAGUAAAUCUCGAGAACUGCACUUUACAUCUUAUUAAUACCACAGUGAAGUGAGCUUUGGGUUAUUUUCUGUACUUUUGUACGAGUUGUAAAAGAGAAAAGAGUUUUGUUAACCCCCAAAAAUAUACUCUGUCUAAAAGCAAUUUAUUACAACUGGACAUAUUUUAUUGGUACACAAUAAUCAUCUUUCUCAGGUAUCCUUUAUUAAAAGCUUUAUUUAUAAACAUAGGCUUGGAUAUCAUGGUCUAAUUUUCUAUUAGAAAAAUGCUUUUGGAAGAAAACAUAUAUAAUUAAUAUCCCUUGCCCUGAGACAGAGUCACCUCUUUUCACCUACUGCACUUUACCAGCUGAUAUAUUACAGUUAUUAUAGCCACCUUGGUAGGACACAGUAUACACAAGGAAGAUGACAGGUUAACCUUCCAGCUGAGGGUAAUUCUGUAUGUGAGAUCCAUUUGUCAUUGUCAUGUAAUUCAAGGUGAAUUAGACAUACACCAUAAGAUAAACUAUAUGCUUCUGGACAACUGAACAUUUCCAGUGGAUUAAAUUCACUGUUCCAGUAGCAGGGCCCAACAUGAGUUGGCCUACAGUACGUGAAAUUUCUAUGAUACAGCAAAUCAAUAGGAUGUGCUCAGACUGGGCUCACCUUUCCAGCAAAGGUUUGCAGCUUUCGAUUAUUUUCAAUUAACUGGGGGGAGUCCUGCCAAGGGUAUCGUUCUGUAUUAAUUUCGUCUUUGGGUUCACUGCAUGUUGAGUAAGUGUCCUUGUGUGUGAUAAAUUGUAUAAUAAUAAUAAUAAAAAACUGGCUAUCAACCACUGUCAAGAUGUUUGAUAUUGUGAAACACCGUUGUUCAUGUUCAAAGCCUAAACUACCAUCGUGACUACAUUUUGUGAUCAAUACCCAAACUUUAAAUGUAAUAACAUUUAAAUGUUUUCUAUUUUCAUUCUUUCAUGUUGAUGGACUGAGAAAAUACAGUUAAUAAAUAAUAUUCUCAAAAACUUGCCCCAAACCUCUGUGUGACAAGGCAGUCCUAUCUCUGGACUUUUUCCAUCCGUUUCAUGCAGAGGUUCUACCAGCUAGUUUGUGUUACUGUAUUACAUGUGCAGUUACAGAGUGUCAAGCAGCAAGCUUCCUAUGUAAUUAUGAUAAUAACAAUCUUUAUGUUAUCUAGCACUGUAAAUAGGAUGGCUGGUGGUGAUGUCAGACAAGGAAAUGAAUUCACAACACAACAGCCGAUUGGGGUAUGAAAAGCGCUGUGGCGCAUUGCGGCAAAGCGUAAGCCUUGCACAUGGGGA